rnacentral:rRNA from 1 species
AUUGAACGCUGGCGGCAGGCCUAACACAUGCAAGUCGAACGAGUGGCGGACGGGUGAGUAAUGUCUGGGAAACUGCCUGAUGGAGGGGGAUAACUACUGGACACGGUAGCUAAUACCGCAUACCAUCAGAUGUGCCCAGGUGGGUUUAGCUUGUUGGUGGGGUAACGGCUAACCAAGGCGACGCUCCCUAGCUGGUCUGAGAGGAUGACCAGCCACACUGUGACGGAGACACGGCCCAGACUCCUACGGGAGGCAGCAGGGGGGAAUAUCGCACAAUGGGCGCAAGCCUGAUGCAGCCAUGCCGCGUGUAUGAAGAAGGCCUUAGGGUUGUAAAGUACUUUCAGCCGGGAGGCGUUACCCGCAGAAGAAGCACCGGCUAACUCCGUGCCAGCCGCCGCGGUAAUUC